rnacentral:rRNA from 1 species
GAUGAACGCUGGCGGCGUGCCUAAUACAUGCAAGUCGAACGCUUCACUUCGGUGAAGAGUGGCGACUGGGUGAGUAAUCCAUAAGUAACCUGGCAUCUACAGGGGGCUAACUGAUGGAAACGUCAGCUAAGACCGCAUAGGUGUAGAGAUCGCAUGAACUCUAUAUGAAAAGUGCUACGGGACUGGUAGAUGAUGGAUUUAGGGCGCAGUAGCUUGUUGGUGGUGUAACGGCCUACCAGGGCGAUGAUGCGUAGCCGACCUGAGGGGUGAACGGCCACCCGGGGACUUGGACACGGACCAGGCGCCUGCGGGAGGCAGCAGUAUGGAAUGUUCGGCAAUAGUGGGAACCCUGACCGAGCAACGCGACGUGAAGGAAGGAGAAAUUCGUUAUGUAAACUUCUGUCAUAGGGGAAGAACGGUGGAUAUAUGGAAUGAUGUCCAAGUGACGGUACUCGAUAAGAAAGCCACGGCUAACUACGUG